UCGCACUCACGCUUCCGCCACAACCGC
rnacentral:misc_RNA from 1 species